GCAAGUCGAACGAUGACUUCUGUGCUUGCACAGAAUGAUUAGUGGCGAACGGGUGAGUAACACGUGAGUAACCUGCCCUUGACUUCGGGAUAAGCCUGGGAAACCGGGUCUAAUACCGGAUACGACCUCCUGGCGCAUGCCAUGGGGGUGGAAAGCUUUAUGCGGUUUUGGAUGGACUCGCGGCCUAUCAGCUUGUUGGUUGGGGUAAUGGCCCACCAAGGCGACGACGGGUAGCCGGCCUGAGAGGGUGACCGGCCACACUGGGACUGAGACACGGCCCAGACUCCUACGGGAGGCAGCAGUGGGGAAUAUUGCACAAUGGGCGGAAGCCUGAUGCAGCGACGCCGCGUGAGGGAUGACGGCCUUCGGGUUGUAAACCUCUUUCAGCAGGGAAGAAGCGAAAGUGACGGUACCUGCAGAAGAAGCGCCGGCUAACUACGUGCCAGCAGCCGCGGUAAUACGUAGGGCGCAAGCGUUAUCCGGAAUUAUUGGGCGUAAAGAGCUCGUAGGCGGUUUGUCGCGUCUGCUGUGAAAGCCCGGGGCUCAACCCCGGGUCUGCAGUGGGUACGGGCAGACUAGAGUGCAGUAGGGGAGACUGGAAUUCCUGGUGUAGCGGUGAAAUGCGCAGAUAUCAGGAGGAACACCGAUGGCGAAGGCAGGUCUCUGGGCUGUAACUGACGCUGAGGA
rnacentral:rRNA from 1 species